CAUUUACUCAGAGAUGUAUAUACCAUCUGCGCAGCUAUGUCGAAGGUCCUGGAGGUCAAUUGUGUAUCUUAAAAUAAGUAUACUGGCAGUACUGAAAAAUUGUUCUAUUAUCACGCAGCGCGCUGUGACAGCGUCUAAUUUCCUCAAUGACGUCAUAAAUGAUAGUCGUAUUGCCAUUGCGACUACUGCAGCUUUCGAGGUGAGGCAGUUACAGUGCAAUAUGGCUUAAAGAGACAACGUCGAAAUAUUCGAUCCAGAAAUAAUACUGGCAGUACCACAGUAAUUUUGGAACGGUUACGGCAGUACACUGUUGUGACGUCAUAUGGUUGCACUGCCAGUAAAAAGGAAACACACCCUAAGGAUUGGUUAUUUUACCUUUUGGUAAAUUUUACCUGUUGGGUAAGUAACAAGAUUACCCAAUCACAUGUGUGGACUGCCAGAUUUACUUAAUAGAUAAAAUUACCAAGGAACAACCGGGCCUAAAAUUUUUAGGAAUUUCAAGCAAUGCGACAGACCUAUUGUUAUUUUUUACGCCAUUUUUACAUUAAACACGUUCUAUGUAUACAUACACAUACACCCCUCCCCUCCCACAUACACACACACAUUUAUUUAUUUAUAUAUGCUUUUCAACUUUGCGUCCAUUUGAAGUAGAAUAAUUAAUCAACAAUAAAAAUCUUACAGAAGUAUAAUUUGUGUA
rnacentral:misc_RNA from 1 species